UUGCUUCAGUAGCACAUAUACUAAAAUAAGAACCAUACAAAAAAAGACAAGCAUAGCAUCUGUACAAGAAUAACAUGCAAAUUCAUGAAGCAUUCCAAGCAUUC